rfam:Heterobasidion irregulare TC 32-1 unplaced genomic scaffold scaffold_03, whole genome shotgun sequence.
GCCCGCCUAGCUCAAUCGGAUAGAGCGUCAGACUCUUACAGGCGGGUAUCUGAAGGCUGCGAGUUCGACCCUCGCGGUGGGCU